UAGUCUUCUUAAAAAAGAAAAGGGGUGGAAGGUACUAAAUGGUUAUUUAAAUAUCAUAAAUCAAAAGUGAUGGUAAAAAAAUGGAGGACGAUAAAAUAACAAGUCCAUAGAAAAUAAAAGAUUGAGAUGUACGAACCCUAUCUAAACUUGUUCCAACCAUGUAGCUUAUGAUGAGUACCCUAUUGGUGACGCCAUGUUCUGCAAUUGAAACUUCAUUGAAUUAAUGUAACAUAGUUAUACCAUGACUGUUAUUCAACCCAUAAUGACGUCCGUGAAUCUUUCGAUUUGGUGACUUCAACGCCACUGUGAACCCCUGAUGCAAUAUAUCCCCCC
rnacentral:lncRNA from 1 species